rnacentral:rRNA from 1 species
UACGAAGGGGGCUAGCGUUGCUCGGAUUUAUUGGGCGUAAAGAGCGUGUAGGCGGUUCGGUAAGUCUGUCGUGAAAUCCUGAGGCUCAACCUCGGACGUGCGAUGGAUACUGCCGGGCUAGAGGAUGGUAGAGGCGAGUGGAAUUCCCGGUGUAGCGGUGAAAUGCGCAGAUAUCGGGAGGAACACCAGUAGCGAAGGCGGCUCGCUGGGCCAUUCCUGACGCUGAGACGCGAAAGCUAGGGGAGCGAACAGG